CAUGGCUCAGAUUGAACGCUGGCGGAAUGCUUUACACAUGCAAGUCGGGCGGCAGCGCGGGGGCAACCCUGGCGGCGAGCGGCGAACGGGUGAGUAAUACAUCGGAACGUACCCAGUCGUGGGGGAUAGCCCGGCGAAAGCCGGAUUAAUACCGCAUACGCCCUGAGGGGGAAAGCGGGGGACCGGAAACGGCCUCGCGCGAUUGGAGCGGCCGAUGGCGGAUUAGCUAGUUGGUGGGGUAAAGGCCUACCAAGGCGACGAUCCGUAGCUGGUCUGAGAGGAUGAUCAGCCACACUGGAACUGAGACACGGUCCAGACUCCUACGGGAGGCAGCAGUGGGGAAUCUUGCGCAAUGGGCGAAAGCCUGACGCAGCGAUGCCGCGUGAACGAAGAAGGCCUUCGGGU
rnacentral:rRNA from 1 species